AGGAAAUGCCUUUACUUUCCUUUCCAUUUCCCUGAGCGUGGAGGUGGAUGUGUCAUCUCAGAACUGAACAUGUUUUUGUUUGAAGUGGGUUUUAUGGUUGCUGUUUUGCAAGUCUAUCCAACCUACGCUGUCGAGAAUCAAGCAUGUACUUCGGUGGAAAUUGAUUGUGAAAAAUUGAAGACCAGUGAUGGUAGAUACGUGUAUCUAUACAACAUUUCAGGUGUAUCUGACAUUGCGGUGUACAACAAUACAGGGACUGCCAUUGCCAACAGUGGAGGGGACAAGCCAAUGGAAUUUGAUAAGAAUGAGGUGGUAACGAUGAACAACAGUUCAAUCACCCUCUAUAAAUGCCAACAUCUGACAAUGAACAUCAUUUACAUUGAUUCUACACAGCAGAAGACUGGAACUGAGUCUAAUGGUGAAGAUCCCUCAGUUAAGGAGAGAUGUUCCCAUUACAUUGUCACAGAGAUGAGGAAUGAGGUUGUGACAACUGCAUCAUUGAAUUCAACCAUCAUCCCAGUUGGUGUUGUUGCUCUUGUGCUGGUCAUUGCUGGUUUGCUCUUAGUGUUUUUUUGUAUAUACAAACCUUGGAGAGACAAACAGUGCAACCAAGGCCACAGAGACGUGGAAGAGGUUCAGGGCAUUCCAGAACCAAACUCCAUUCCUCUGAUGCAGAAUGAGCAACGUGAUAUCAGAGACAUCAGAAAGCCUGAUGACGGUGAGACUGUUGAAGCCGUGGUUGUUCUCAGUGACCAAGGAGGUGAGCCAGGAGAGGAGAGCAGGCAGCCCAUGGACAAUGAAGAGACAGGCGCUGACAACCCUCUGCUGAAUGGAGAUGCCAGCGGCCAAGGAGAGGAAGGUGUUCUAGGAAUGGAGGAUGGAAAGCCGUCAGCCAAUGACAGAGCAGACACUGAAACCUGUCAGAAGACACAUGCUGAUUCCCCUCCACUGAAUGUACCCAAGGUUGUCAGGGUUAACAGCCAGACUGAUGACACACAGCUUCUGGGUCAACCUCAGAGCAAUGGACACGUGCCAUAUAGAAGGGAAUCACACCUGACCAAUGGGGCUCCAGGUCAGGGUGCUGGUGAGACUUCACCCCUCCUCUGCAGGGUUGACGAUGAGACUAAGGAAGUGACUCCUGGUGCACAGAGUUCAGGACCUCCUCAGAUGAAUGGAGGUCCUCCCAUGUCUAACAAAGCUGCAGAGGAGACCACUGCUCUAUUGGACAAACAGGCCUUGGACAAGGACCAAGUCACCAAACCUCCUGAGUUAAUACUGGUUUUCUGGUAUCUCCGUUCUGCUGCUGGGCAUUGCUGGUUUCUUAGUGUACAGAUAUGGCAACAUUCCUUGGAGAGACAAACAUCCAUUUGCUCUUGCACAGCUAGAUCGGCUGGGUCGGGACUACCUUAACACCAACAGGGAAAACCAGAGGGACAACGGAGAACCUGAUGAUCCAGCUGCUGGGGACGCUGAGUCUCUCCGAUCUGCGCCUGUCUAUAAUCUACAACUGCAUCUGUCCCCUUGAACCAUCAGGGACCAGGGGGAUGGUGUGGAAGAGGAGAGGGAGCCACCACACAGUCAGCAGACACAUGUUGAGUCCUCUCUGCUGAAUGGGCAUCUUGUGAACAGGUUGAACUUUCUCUGAGAAAGACCCUCAUUACUUCAUUACCGGUUGGGUUUCAUUAUCCUCAGUCAGAGCUGAUCCCAUGAGUCAUUGAUCCUGCAGGUUUAAUGGAAAGACCCGUUUGUUUCACACAUCAUCCUUAUAUUCUAAUACCUGUAAUACCUAAUGAGCAUGGUAAAUGCUCAUGCAUGUUAAAAAAAUGUUUAGCAGUCAAGGAGAGAGAGGUGAGCCAAGCGAGAGGUUCGUUCAGCCAAUGGGCCGUGAAGGAACAGAUACUGAAUUCUCUCAGAAGAGAAAUGCUGGAUUUAAUUUUGAGCCGGUUUGCUACAGCAGGAAAUUAAUCCUGCAGCAACAACAAAUGUGAAUUGUUACGUGAGUUGAUAGAUUUUUCAUUAGGGCAAAUCAAAUCAGUCAUUUUAAAGUGGAAAUUACCAACUUUCAAUGCCCUUUUAAACUUUGAAUACACUACAGGUUUGCAUUUCCUGCUGUGCAGGAAAAUGCUCAGCAACCGAAGAGUUAUCAAAUUAAGAUCGUACCUCUGUAAUCUCACAAUGGGGCAUGUAAUAACAUUUGUCUUGUGGUGGAUCAACGAUGAUGUCAGGUAAACUUCACUACAUAUUGAUACAUCCACAACUCAUUGGGUAUAAUGCCACUCACCCCAUUUUCCCACGGUUCAUGUCAGCCUCUGUCUCUUUAGGGGACAGUAUUAUGGUGGAUCAUGAAUGUGAAUGUUGAUGUCUUAUUCCUCCAACAGGGUUAACGAUGAGACUAAGGAAGUGACUCCUGGUGCACAGAGUCCAGGACCUCCUCAGAUGAAUGUAUUACCUCCCAUGUCUGACAGGUUGGAGAACAACCCUGUUGGUCAGCGGAUGAAGAAAACUGCUCUGGUGAACAAGCAGGACCAGGCUGGUCAGCAACGGCAUGAAGCCAGUUGAAAAUAUAUAGUAUAUAAGAUGCAACUAAGUGUAAAUAUAAUAAAAAAUAACAUGAUAUACACUGUAAUAUAGAACAGUAUAAUAUGACAUUAUAUAAUAUCGUAACACUUACUUGAAGCUGCUUCUUGUAUAGUGUUAUAUAUUCUAAUGAAUGCAUUCUUAACAACAUGAAUGAUGCAUUAAUGCAUACAUAGGAUAUAACUGUAAAAUGCUAGUAUAAUACUGUGCUGGUAAGCUGCUAGCUGUGGGGUUGCCCCCAGCUGUGGUUUCUAUUAUUCAGAGUAUCUAAGCUCAACUUCAAAUCCAUAGUUUUCAGCUUAGUUGUUACCGUAAACUAGCACUUCUUAGAGACAAAGUUAUGGGACAUGCUGUAUAACUACUUACCAUUCUGAAGUGUAACAGUCAGGUUUUUAUGUAACAAUUGUUCAUCCCUUUUUAAAUAUUUAUUUAUAUAUUUGUUUGCUUGAUUAGAUUGAAUUAGUAUGACUAAUGCAUUAUUUUACCCUCCCGUAUAGAGGGAUAUUAUUUUACCCUCCCGUAUAGAGGGAUAUUAUUUUACCCUCCCGUAUAGAGGGAUAUUAUUUUACCCUCCCGUAUAGAGGGAUAUUAUUUUACCCUCCCGUAUAGAGGGAUAUUAUUUUACCCUCCCGU